CGGGUGAGUAACACGUGGGCAAUCUGCCCUGCACUCUGGGACAAGCCCAGGAAACGGGGUCUAAUACCGGAUACUGACCCCCGCAGGCGUCUGCGGGGUUCGAAAGCUCCGGCGGUGCAGGAUGAGCCCGCGGCCUAUCAGCUUGUUCGGUGAGGUAAUGGCUCACCAAGGCGACGACGGGAAGCCGGCCUGAGAGGGCGACCGGCCACACUGUGACUGAGCCGAUCCCAACUCUCAUACGGGAGGCAGCAGUGGGGAAUAUUGCACAAUGGGCGAAAGCCUGAUGCAGCGACGCCGCGUGAGGGAUGACGGCCUUCGGGUUGUAAACCUCUUUCAGCAGGGAAGAAGCGAAAGUGACGGUACCUGCAGAAGAAGCGCCGGCUAACUACGUGCCAGCAGCCGCGGUAAUACGUAGGGCGCGAGCGUUGUCCGGAAUUAUUGGGCGUAAAGAGCUCGUAGGCGGCUUGUCACGUCGGUUGUGAAAGCCCGGGGCUUAACCCCGGGUCUGCAGUCGAUACGGGCAGGCUAGAGUUCGGUAGGGGAGAUCGGAAUUCCUGGUGUAGCGGUGAAAUGCGCAGAUAUCAGGAGGAACACCGGUGGCGAAGGCGGAUCUCUGGGCCGAUACUGACGCUGAGGAGCGAAAGCGUGGGGAGCGAACAGGAUUAGAUACCCUGGUAGUCCACGCCGUAAACGGUGGGCACUAGGUGUGGGCGACAUUCCACGUCGUCCGUGCCGCAGCUAACGCAUUAAGUGCCCCGCUCUGGGAGUACGGCCGCAAGGCUUAAAACUCAAGGAAUUGACGGGGGCCCGCA
rnacentral:rRNA from 1 species